UUGGAGGGCAAGUCUGGUGCCAGCAGCCGCGGUAAUUCCAGCUCCAAUAGCGUAUAUUAAAGUUGUUGCAGUUAAAAAGCUCGUAGUUGAAUUUCGGGAUCAAAUAAUCGGUCGUGCCUCCGGUACGUACUGGUUUUAUUGGUUCCUCCCUUCUGACGAACCAUGAUGUCAUUAAUUUGAUGUGGUGGAGAAUCAGGACUGUUACCUUGAAAAAAUUAGAGUGUUUAAAGCAGGCAUUAGCUUGAAUACAUUAGCAUGGAAUAAUGAAAUAGGACGUUCGAUCCUAUUUUGUUGGUUUCUAGGAUCAACGUAAUGAUUAAUAGGGAUAGUUGGGGGCAUUAGUAUUCAAUUGUCAGAGGUGAAAUUCUUGGAUUUAUUGAAGACUAACUACUGCGAAAGCAUUUGCCAAGGAUGUUUUCAUUAAUCAAGAACGAAAGUUAGGGGAUCGAAGACGAUCAGAUACCGUCGUAGUCUUAACCAUAAACUAUGCCGACUAGGGAUCGGAUGAUGUUAAUUUUUUAAUGACUCAUUCGGCGCCUUACGGGAAAC
rnacentral:rRNA from 1 species